AUGAGUUAGGGUCUUAUAGGCCCGAUCUCCAACCCUUUGUAUAACUACCAUGUUGCUUUGACGGGCCCGUCUUCGGACCGUUGGAGGUCGUUUGACCUCUGGCCCGUGCCCGUCAGUAGCCCACUACAAAUUCUUUUAUCAGUGACGUCUGAGUACUAUAUAAUAGUUA
rnacentral:misc_RNA from 1 species